GCUCCUCCAAUAUAAAUGGAAAGCGCUGAGCUUGAUUAAGCCACCCUGUAUUGUCAUCCCAAAAUCUGAGCCAGAAGUGAAAUCCAAGAAUGAAGAGAAAUGCCCACCAGUGUAUUGAAUAUAAAGGCUGGGCUUCACAUCGGUGAGGAGACAGAAAAGGUCCUUGGGAAAAACUUGAUAGGUGGAUCAAAAGGCCAAAUCUGGUCUAAGCAUCUAGCUGACUGUGUGAUGAACUGUAAUGUGCUGCCCGACUUCCAACAAUUCAGGGUGCAAAGAAAAAAUAUCUGCUGCGAACUCUGUGCGUAGCAUCAGGAAGGACAUCUGGCCAGUAAAUGCUUAGCUCCA